rnacentral:SRP_RNA from 1 species
NNNGGGUGCUCUCGCAACACUACCCUGUGAACUCGGUCAGGUCCGGAAGGAAGCAGCCGCAGCAGGCGACGUGUGUGCCGGGAUGUCGCUGGCGGGG